rnacentral:rRNA from 1 species
GCAGAACGCGAAGAACCUUACCAACCCUUGACAUGUGUAUCGCGGUUCCAGAGAUGGUUCCUUCAGUUCGGCUGGAUACAACACAGGUGCUGCAUGGCUGUCGUCAGCUCGUGUCGUGAGAUGUUCGGUUAAGUCCGGCAACGAGCGCAACCCACACUUUCAGUUGCCAUCAUUCAGUUGGGCACUCUGGAAGAACUGCCGGUGAUAAGCCGGAGGAAGGUGUGGAUGACGUCAAGUCCUCAUGGCCCUUACGGGUUGGGCUACACACGUGCUACAAUGGUGGUGACAAUGGGUUAAUCCCCAAAAGCCAUCUCAGUUCGGAUUGGGGUCUGCAACUCGACCCCAUGAAGUCGGAAUCGCUAGUAAUCGCGUAACAGCAUGACGCGGUGAAUACGUUCCUGGGUCUUGUACACACCG